UUGAACGCAUAUCGCACUUCUUGCUUU
rnacentral:rRNA from 2 species